GAGCCGCAGAGCCCCGGGGUCUCGGCUGAGCAGCGGCGGCGGCGGCGGCGGCACCAAGUAUCCGCGGAGCUGGAAUGACUGGGAACCCAGCCGCCACGUGAGAGCUCUUCUAACCUCUGUUCCUUUCUGUGACCCCCACGUGGUAAUAUUGAAAAAAACAAAACAAAACUCCAGCUAAGGCAUUGCUCUGACUCUAGGCAGAACAUUCAUUAGUGGGAGCGUGAGAUGAGAUUGUGUGACUGUUGAUGGGAUCGACCCACUCUGGUCUUGGGCGAUGGAAGUUUUCCCUAAGUGCAAGGCCGGUUACUCUGGUGAAUCGUAAUUCAUACCUGGACACUUGAGUGAACUCUGGGCACCCACUUAGAAGUCUAGAGAAUUUCCUCAUUUAUGGAGGAUUUGAUGUCAGACCGUUUUGGGGCUUAGUGAGAUUUGAAUAUAUUAGGAACAUUAACUUUUUAAAUAAAUGUAAUUUCCUGUCGUUUUGAUCAAUGGGGGGAGGGCAGCUGUGUCUAAUUUAGGACUGAUUUAUUCUAACCUCUCUUAAUAAAUGCUUGUAUUCAGAGUCUGUUUGGAAUUUAACGCAAUGCUUAGAACUCCUUAAAUAUACAGAAAUAUAUUUUAGGGGUAAUUGAUUCAUAGAACUCUCCUACUUUGGAGCACAAUUGUAUUACAAUUGUCCAGAAACUGGCCAAAUAAUGUAGAACGCACAAGUUGUUGGGAAGCCC
rnacentral:sRNA from 1 species